UACGUAGGGCGCAAGCGUUGUCCGGAAUUAUUGGGCGUAAAGAGCUCGUAGGCGGUUUGUCGCGUCUGCUGUGAAAACCUAAGGCUCAACCUUGGGCUUGCAGUGGGUACGGGCAGACUGGAGUGCGGUAGGGGUGACUGGAAUUCCUGGUGUAGCGGUGGAAUGCGCAGAUAUCAGGAGGAACACCGGUGGCGAAGGCGGGUCUCUGGGCCGACAUUGACGCUGAGGAGCGAAAGCGUGGGGAGCGAACAGG
rnacentral:rRNA from 1 species